AACUUUCAGCAACGGAUCUCUUGGCUCUCGCAUCGAUGAAGAACGCAAGCGAAAUGCGAUAAGUAAUGUGAAUUGCAGAAUUCAGUGAAUCAUCGAAUCUUUGAACGCACCUUGCGCCCUUUGGCUAUUCCGAAGGGCAUGCCUGUUUGAGUAUCAUG
rnacentral:rRNA from 2 species